CCUACGGGAGGCAGCAGUGAGGAAUCUUGGUCAAUGGGCGCGAGCCUGAACCAGCCAAGUAGCGUGAAUGAUGACUGCCCUACGAGUUUUAAACUUCGUUUAUAGAGGAAUAAAUUGAGGCACGUAUGCCUUUUUGUAUUUACUUUAUGUAUAAAGAUCGGCUAACUCCGUGCCAUCAGCCGCGGUAAUACGGAGGGUCCGAGCGUUAGCCGGAUUUAUUGGGUUUAAAGGGAGCGUAGAUGGGUUGGUAAUUCAGGUGUGAAGGUUUUCGGCUCAACCGUACAAGUGCAAUUGAUACUGGAAGUCUUGAGUGCAGAUGAGGAAGGCGGAAUUCGUGGUGUAGCGGUGAAAUGCUUAGAGAUAACGAAGAACUCCGAUGGCGAAGGCAGCUUACUAAACUGUAACUGACAUUGAUGUUCGAAAGUGUGGGUAUCAAACAGGAUUAGAUACCCUUGUAGUC
rnacentral:rRNA from 1 species